UGAACGCUGGCGGCGUGCUUAACACAUGCAAGUCGACCGGAAAGGCCCAAGCUUGCUUGGGUACUCGAGUGGCGAACGGGUGAGUAACACGUGGGUGAUCUGCCCCGCACUUCGGGAUAAGCCUGGGAAACUGGGUCUAAUACCGGAUAGGACCACUUCUUGGAGGUUGUGGUGGAAAGUUUUUUCGGUGUGGGAUGAGCUCGCGGCCUAUCAGCUUGUUGGUGGGGUAAUGGCCUACCAAGGCGUCGACGGGUAGCCGGCCUGAGAGGGUGUACGGCCACAUUGGGACUGAGAUACGGCCCAGACUCCUACGGGAGGCAGCAGUGGGGAAUAUUGCACAAUGGGCGCAAGCCUGAUGCAGCGACGCCGCGUGGGGGAUGACGGCCUUCGGGUUGUAAACUCCUUUCGCUAGGGACGAAGCGCAAGUGACGGUACCUAGAGAAGAAGCACCGGCUAACUACGUG
rnacentral:rRNA from 1 species